AAAGUACAAAGAUAGACACUCAUUAUCUCACUCAAUUGUUUAAACUUUAACAUAUUUAAAGGAGCUGACUCUAUUAACAGUGUUGUUUGGAUGUUCAGAAUGGAAUAUUAGCAUAUUUAUAACUGCAUGGUACUGAAUAGAUACAGUCUACAUUUAAAAAAUAUUAUGUAAAAAAAACAUCCGUUAACAAAUACUUUUAUUAAUAAAUAGUGCAUUAAAUUGAUCAAAAGUGACCAUAAAGACUUUUAUAAUAUUUCAAAACUUUUUAAACUUUCUAUUCAUAGAAGAAUCUUGAAAAAAAAAGUGUCACUGUUUUCAUAAAAAAUAUUAAGCAGCAGAACUGUUUGAUAAUAAAUGUUUUUUGAGCAGCAAAUCAGCAUAUUAGAAUAAUUUCUGAAGGAUCAUGUGACUAACAACACUGUAAAAAAUUAUUUAGCAGUUUAGUUGUUUCAAUGAAUUUUUUUAUGUUGACACAACUUGCAGUUACUGAAUUUGUUCAUUCAACUAAAAAUUUUAAGUUUUCAGUGUCUCAACUAGUUUGAAAGUUGACUGAACUAGGUCAUUUGUCCUCAUAACUUAAAAAAAUUUGUUGACUCAAUUCAAUAGCAAUAUCACGUUCACAACAUCACUUAUCGCGAGAUCUCGUCAUUCUCCUGAAUGCUGUUGAAGAGAGAAGAAGGUCGUCAGCCAUUCUAGUCAGUUUCUCCUCAAAGUUUGGACAUUUGACUAGAAUACAACUUUGAUUCAGCGCAGAAUUCAAUAAUCCUGUGGAUGGACCGCAGCGAGUCCUUUUGCAGUUAUCCAUCAAAAAGAUAUGCAGACAUAAUGGAAAUGGCAUUUACAUUGUAGAGCUUGGACGAAGUUCACACAGGCUCUGCGCAGGAAUUCAUCAAGGACAUGACUGCUGGGAUUACGCUUCUGGAUGACCAAUCUGAGCACCAUCAGUCUGCAGUCAUGUGGUCCAGGUAAUAGAAGAAGAAGAAAUCUGGGUGAUCUGGGGUUGUAACUCGUUGUUAGACGAUCUGUGUACUGUGUUAGACGAUCUGGGACUGGGACUAACAGAAAUAAACUAAUUCAGGUUUAA
rnacentral:lncRNA from 1 species